UAAGAUCAUAAUUAGGAUAUUCUAAUGUUAAUCUGUGUGAGGUGUUGAGUAUUAAGAUCAUAAUUAGGAUGUUCUAAUGUUAAUCUGUGUGAGGUGUUGAGUAUUAAGAUCAUAAUUAGGAUGUUCUAAUGUUAAUCUGUGUGAGGUGUUGAGCUGCUUUUCUCUUGAUUUAUUCCUCCUCCUCUUUCUGUCUGUCUCACCUGACUCCUGGAAUAUUCUUGUUCUGCGAUCCCUUGCAUCUCCUCUUCCUUCUUCUUCUUCCUCGUUUCUUCUUUCUGUUGUCUUGCGGAACCCCCGCCUCCUAUACCGAACAUCGGUGCCCAAAUCUUGGAAGCUACAAGUGCUCUUCACCCCCCCUCCUCCCGUUUUUUUACUCUCUUCCUUGCCCUCCCUCACCCUCUCCUCUUCCCCUCCUACCCUCUUCUCCUCCUCCCUUUCCACUUUCCUCUCCUCAGUCGCCUCUCCCACUUUCCCCCUGUCCUCGGUCCCAUCCUCUAUCCUCCUUUCCUGCUUCCUCUCUACCACACUAUUCUCUUCCCCAUCUCCCACAGUCCUCUCUUUCUCCCCUUCUUCCUCCAUCUUUUCCUCUAUGGUGGUGAUAGGUUGUUUUGAAUCAGGGUUGUAUAUAAGGCUGGGGCAGCUGGUUGGUUUGUACAGGGUGUUGCUCACAGAGAGAAACAGAUCUUCCUCUUUCUGGGCAUUCACUUCUUUCUCUGCAUCCAGUAUAUGAACCUCGUCCCCAACUUCGAUCCCUUUCUCCAUCUCACCCUCAUCCUCUGUCACCAUCUCUACCUGGAUAUGUAUAUGACUGUCUGUUUGUCUGUCUGCACACACAUUGUUACCCUCCACCUCCUCUCCCUGUGUGUCUGUAGGUGUGUCACCAUGAGUAUUGUGUAGGGUCAGGGCAGCAUGCAUGUCUAUGGGUUUGCCAUCACCAAGCAUAGCUGUGAAAGCCUCAGCAUGCACGUCUGUUAGUUUCUCCCCUGUACCUCUCUCAUCCUCCAGCUUCCCUGGCUCUGCCUCCUGUUCAGCCAGCCUCUCCUCCACCGACUUCCUCCCACGCUUCUUCCUCUUCUGAACCGUGGCGUAGAUGGGUGAGGCUCCUCCCCCCUCUAGCGUCUCAUCCUUUUCUUCCUCUAGCUCCUCUUCUACCCUCUCGGUCCCUCUCGUAGUCUGGCUGACCUCUUGACUUCCCUGUGACUCUGGCUGGGGGUUGCCGAGGGCUGGUUCCUCCGAGCUGCCAAGGAUCUCGCUCAAUACGUUCUUGGCCCACUUCAUGUGUGAGGCCUGGGAGUGGCGCUUGGCCUCCUCUUCUGUGCUCCAGGCUCCCCUUAUACAGAUCUGGAUGGCCACAGCUUCCUCUGGGCUCAUCACUCCAGGGUCAUUCUGGUCAGAGGUGGCUUGGUCAACUACAGGGAUCCCAUGGUGGUGGUACUCUCCACUGGGAUGUGAAGAUGGACCUAUCUCUGGUUCUGUCCUCCUCCUGUCUGUUGGGUCCCUCUCUCUUGUUUCUGUGUACUCUUCAUGUCUUUCUCUCCACUCUUUGAGGAGUUUUUCGGUCUCAGAGUUCCUCCUUCGCUCUAUCUCAGCGUAAGGGUUCUCCUCCAUGACCUUCAGUCGUUCUCCGCUCUCUCGUUCUAGGGUGGUGUGACUGACGUCCACUAUGGAGCUCUCUUCUGUGUCUGUUCUCUCCUCCUUUGGCACAUGGAUCUCAUCCCUCACUAUUUUUCUCUCAUCCUCUGCCCCUUGGUCUCCAUCUCUGGAAGGGUUCUCAUGAGGGAGGUGUGUGAUGUCAUCACUGUCCCUAUGACCAUAUCCAGGAUUUUGAUUGGUCCACUCUGAUUCCAUGUCACCCAAGACUGCUGUCUGAUUGGGUUUUGACCUGGGCAGUGUUUGUCCAAUCACACAGAAUACAUAGGUGGGUUGCUUCUUCCCCUUUCCAUCAUUCACCUCUCCCUCCACUGCAUCAUCCUUUUGCUCUGUCCUCUCUUCUGUUCUUUCUCUCUCUCUUUCAUGUCUUCUCCCUCCACCAAUCUUCAUCUCUCCCUCGCUCCCCUGAAAGCUAACAGGUUGCCUGGUAACAUGAAUAGCAACCCCAACUUCCAAGAAUUCCUUGCAGUCCUCAAACUCCUCUUCUCCACCACUGGACACAGUGAUAAAGCCGUCCUCAGAGGAAGGGAUUCUAUCCCUCCUUCCUUCCCACUCUCUAUCACUUCCUCCAUCGCUCUCGAAGAGUGUAUAUCUAUCACUUCCUCCUUCUUCCUCUCUGUCACCCUCUGUGUUAUCUGUCACAUUCUCUCUCUCCGUCUCCCUGUCCCUCUGCCAGCGUUCCUCUCUCUCCGUCUCCCUGUCCCUCUGCCAGCGUUCCUCUCUCUCCGUCUCCCUGUCCCUCUGCCAGCGUUCCUCUCUCUCCGUCUCCCUGUCCCUCUGCCAGCGUUCCUCUCUCUCUCCAUCGCUGUAAGUCUGGUGUUCCUCUCCUCUGCUAUAACUCCUCCAGGCUUCUGUCUCAUCGUCUUCAUCUACAUUUAACCCUCUCUCCAAAAACCUCUCCCUCCCUCCCUCCCUCUCAGCUUCUCUCUCUUCGUCUAUGGACUUUCUUUGUUCCACCGACCUAUCCUCUUGUCCUUCUCCCUCUGUCUUCCUCUCUUUAUCUCUGCCUGUCCAUUGUUCCACGGAUCUGUCCUCUUCUUCACUUCUCUCUCUCCAUCUGUUAGUGUGCCUAUCUCUUUCUCGCUCUAUAACCUCAUCCUCUAAAGAGGAGUCUUUGUUAAAUCUGACCCUCUGUGGUAAUAACCACAUCCUCCUCUGCUCAGGGCGCUUUGGUAUCGUCUCUUCCUUUCCUUCUUCUCUCCCCCUCACUCUAUCUGGUCUCUCUCUUUCACUACAGUCUCUCUGCCCCUUGUCCACAUCCUUCUCUCCCUCUGACUCCUUCUCUUCAUGACUUUCUCUUCCUCUUCUCCAUUUUCUUUCCCUCUCUAUGUCACUGCUCCAUUCUCCGCUGCUCUGGACUCGUGGUGGCACCCUUGGGGCUGUCUCGCUCAGCGAUCGACUAGCUCCGUCUGCUUCUCCCUCCCUUUUGGGAUCUGUCUCUCUGUCCCUCUUCUCCCUGCACCUCCUCUCUUCAUCCUCCUCCUUGGAAUAUCUCUCCCUCUCUCUGAAUCUCUCUCCAUCCAUCUGCUUCCCUCUCUCUCCAGUUACAUUGGGCUGUGUUCCCACCCUCACUUUGUCUAGGUCCCUCCUUUCCCUUGGUCUGUCCUCUCGCCUGCCCCCUUCUCUCACCUCAUCCCUCUCUCUCUCCACUUCCCUCACUUUUCUCCUGUCCCUCUCUCUGUAUCUCUCCAUGUCACUCUUUCCAUCCCUGUCCCCUUCCCUAACUCUCUGUCUAUAAGCAUCUCUCCUUCCAUCCCUCUCUCUGUACAUCUCCCCCCCUCUCCAUUUCUGUCUCUCCUUCUCUUUCUCCCUCACUCUAUCCCAUGCUGCGUUCCCCUCAGUGCCCCCCUCACUUUUACUGUGCAGAUGUUUCAGUUCUCUUCUGUUGUCAUCUCUCACUCUCUCUUUCUUUUUCUCUCCAUCACUGUCUCCCUCACUCCUGGUGUCCCUCUGUCCCUCGGUAUUUCCUUCCCUCCUUCCAUCCCUGCCCUCUCUAUCCGAAUAGUUCUGUGAAUCUCCCUCUCUUCUUCCAUCCUCUCUUUCUCCCUGCCGUAGUUUUGACCUCUCUCUCUCUCCAUCCAUAUACCUCUCUCUUUUGCUCCAUAGGUCAUUACCCUUUGAAUCCCUCUCUCUUCUCCUCUCUCUGAAAUCUGGCUCCGCUUCCCUCGCUCUCUCCCUCCGUCUCACGGUAUUAUCCUCCAUGGGCCUCCCUCCAUUUUUCUCUCCGUCCUCCUGUGCCCUGAUUCUCUCCCUCUCCCUCUCUCUGUGCCUUUGGAAGUCCCUCUCCCUCUCCCUGUGCCUUUGGAAGUCCCUCUCUGCAUCUCGAUACCGCUGUAUCUUUGCUGCUGUCUCUCGUUCUCUCUCCCAGUUGUCCAUCUCUGUUCCCUUCGGUCUCUCCAAUUGUCUCAUUCCUUCUUUCCCCACAUCUUCCUCCACAAAUGCACUCAUUCUUCUGUCUCUCUCUUUGCUAUGUUUUACCAUUCUAGGAAACGUGUCUCCUUUCUUUCUCUCCUUUUCUCUGUCUCUGUGGUUCCUGAUCUCCAGAUUUGAAGUAGGUCUUCCAUUGGCACGUCUCUCUCCCGCUCCCCCCCUUUCUUUCUCUCUCCCUUCCCUUUCCUCCUCCCCCCCUCUGGAUAUGAGGGCACACUCCUUCUCUCUGUUCCUCUCUCUUGGUCCGGGUUCCAUCUCUUUUCUUCUAUUUCUUGUCUUGUCCUUCAAUCUCUCCAUUUCUCUUUCUCUCCUCCAUUCCUCCUCUCGGAUCCUCUCCCUCUCUCUGUCUGUCCGGGCCACAGUUCCAGGUCUGGGACUUGUUUCGCGGUAGAUCUGGCUGAUUGGCUGAGGGUUCCGGUAGGAAGCGCUUUGAUUGGAUGGAUCAAAUGUAUCAAAGGGAGUCAGACUGGGACGUUUGGUCCCCA
ensembl:lncRNA